rnacentral:rRNA from 1 species
UACGUAGGUGGCAAGCGUUGUCCGGAUUUAUUGGGUUUAAAGGGUGCGUAGGCGGUCAAAUAAGUCAGUUGUGAAAUACGGCAGCUCAACUGUCGAGGUGCAAUUGAUACUGUUUGACUUGAGUAUUGUUGAGGUAGGCGGAAUGGACGGUGUAGCGGUGAAAUGCUUAGAGAUCGUCCAGAACACCGAUAGCGAAGGCAGCUUACUAAAGAAUAACUGACGCUGAGGCAACGAAAGUGUGGGGAUCAAACAGG